GAUGAAACUAGGAGAAACCAUCCUGAAUGAGUUAACUCAGUCACAAAAAGACAAACAUGAGCCUUCAUCCAGUAGCUGAUGAAAGCACACCCAGACACCCACAGCUAAGCACUGAGCCGAACUCCAGGAAUCCAGUUGAAGAGAGGGAGGAGUGAAGAGAAAAGGGAACCUACACCCAGUAACUGAUGGAAGCAGAUGCAAUGACCCACAGCCAGGCACUGUGCUGAGCUUCGGGAAUUCAGCUGAAGAGAGGGAAGACAGAUCCCAUGAAGAAUGAAGGUCAAAAUCAUGAUAGAGAAAACCACAGAGACAGCUGACCCAAGCUAG
rnacentral:lncRNA from 1 species